GCCUUACACAUGCAAGUCGAACGGCAGCACGGACUUCGGUCUGGUGGCGAGUGGCGAACGGGUGAGUAAUGUAUCGGAACGUACCUUUCAGUGGGGAUAACGUAGCGAAAGUUACGCUAAUACCGCAUAUUCUGUGAGCAGGAAAGCAGGGGAUCGCAAGACCUUGCGCUGAUUGAGCGGCCGAUAUCAGAUUAGCUAGUUGGUGGGGUAAAGGCCUACCAAGGCUACGAUCUGUAGCGGGUCUGAGAGGAUGAUCCGCCACACUGGAACUGAGACACGGUCCAGACUCCUACGGGAGGCAGCAGUGGGGAAUUUUGGACAAUGGGGGCAACCCUGAUCCAGCCAUGCCGCGUGAGUGAAGAAGGCCUUCGGGUUGUAAAGCUCUUUCGGCCGGGAAGAAAUCGCAUAGGCUAAUACCCUGUGUGGAUGACGGUACCGGAAUAAGAAGCACCGGCUAACUACGUGCCAGCAGCCGCGGUAAUACGUAGGGUGCGAGCGUUAAUCGGAAUUACUGGGCG
rnacentral:rRNA from 1 species